AAGAAGUAGCGUAAUCACUUGUUCUUUAAUUGAGGACUAAUAUGAACGGCCCCACGAGGACUACACUGUCUCCUUUUUCUAAUCAAUGAAACUGAUCUCCUCGUGAAGAAGCGAGGAUAAUUAUAUGACGAGAAGACCCUAUGGAGCUUUAAACAACCGGGGUACUUGCUAAUUCAUUUUAUAUCUUCUGAAAACUAAACAAUUAAAGCAUCUUAUCACCAAGUUUUAGGUUGGGGUGACCACGGAGAAAAAAUUAACCUCCACGCUGUAAGAAAUCCACCAUCUUCUAAGCUUAGAGCCACAUUUCCAAGCAUCAACAUAUUGACUUACAUUGACCCAAUAAUUUGAUCAACGAACCAAGUUACCCUAGGGAUAACAGCGCAAUCUACUUUAAGAGCUCAUAUCGA
rnacentral:rRNA from 1 species